CACCAUGGUUUAACUUAUUCCUUCUAUUUAGGAAUAUGUCUUUAAAGACUUAAAAUUGUCUUCUUUUGCUAUCAGCUGAAAACUUCAUAUACCAUAAUUUUUUAGAGGCCACAGCUACAUGGUAAAGACAAGUCUUGGGACAAAAAUGAGGAAGAAAGCAUUUUACUUUAUAUUAGUAAAAUAUACUCUACAUUACUUUGGAGUCUUGAUGAUAAAUUUUAUCAUAUUAAAAUCCACAAUAAUGGUACUAGUCAGCUACUGCACAGCCACACCUGUUUAUAAAGUAUAUAAUUAAUAAACUUUAGAGCUAAAUUCCUCACUGGUUUGAAUAGUACAAGCUCAGUCCCUAUGGUUACUAUCCAUUCCUUUACCCUGUGUUAUGGACUGAAUUGUAUAUACUUGACCAAAUUCAUGUAUCGAUGGCCUGACACCCAACAUGACGUAUUUGGAGAAAGGGCCUAUAUGAAGGUAAUAAAGGUUAAAUGAGGUUAUAAAAGUGGGGCUCCAGUCCUAUAGGACUGAUGUCCUUACAAGAAGAGGAAAAGACACCAGAGCUCUUUCUCUCCACGUUUAUGUGGACAAGUCAGGAAAAGCCUCCCUAGAAAUCAGUCUUUGAUCUUGGACUUUGAUCUUGGACUUCUGGCCUCCAUAACUAUAAGAAAAAGAUUUCUGUUACUUAAGCUACCCAAUCAGUAGUAUCUUAUGACAGCCUGAGAAGACUAAUAUAUCCUGAUUUAUGUUUCCUUGCAACACUUAUUACCACAUGACUUAUGAGAGAUUUCAUAUAUACAUACUAGAAUGUAAACUGGGACUUCCUGAUUUGUUAUGGUGCCACUGCCUGGUAUAUAGUAUGCAUGCAAUAAAUAUUUGUUGGAUGAUGCAUUAUAUGUGCUUGCCUAGGGACAAGAUAUCAAAAACAAAAUACCAUCUUUCUUAGCAUAUGGUAUCUCUGACCUACAUAAUUACAUUUACCACACAAUCAGUCUAUCCCUUUCCCUCCCCUCCCCCUCAUUUUUCCUCUUGGCUCCUCUUCUGUUCUAAUUUCUCCCAUCAGUGUGUGCUCUUUGAAGGCAGGUACCUUGUUUGGGCUCUUCAAAAGUAGAUCCUGAGACAAGGACUCCAGAUGCAGAGAAUACUUGUAGAGGGGUAGAGAAAUGAUUCAAGAAAGGCAAGAUGUCCAGUAAAAAAUGUGGAAUUAAGUCAGCUACCACUAUGGGCAACUGGAGUUUAAUCCUAUAGUGAAAUUUCAGAAAGGGUAUAAAACACAUUGCAAAUUAUUCUACCUGAAGGGUAAGGGAGCUAGAGUGACUCCUAAGAGUCACUGGCCUGCCACAUAGUCAGUCAGUGUGGCUUCCAUUGUUCCAGAAAAAGUCCUCAGGUACAGAGGUGCUUUGUUACUGGUGGCCAGAAGUUUGUUGCUGAAAUGGGAGGUCCUGGGAAUAUGGGUGGGGCUCUCACAAUAUUUGCUAUGGCCCCUCAUGCAUCCAUUUGCAUACCAUCUGCUUAGCAGUGCCCUAGUUUAUUGUCACAAUACAGAAUAUCACAACUUCUCUGCCUUUCAAAUUACUGGGUGAAUACAUAUCUCUUACUAAUCUAUUGUUGCAGAAAAAUAGAACUUUACCAUUAAAAAGAAAUAGAAACAGACUUAAAAAAUUCCCAUCCCCCAUUCAUUCAACCACUUCAUUUUAUAUUUUCAUGCAUCAUGCAAAAUGUAUCCAAAUUAUUUACAAAUAUCUAAGGGAUAGAUGGAGUGUGCUGAUCUCCAGGUUAACGGUGAUGGUAUCAAACUUCUAGGCUGUGUGGCCCUAGCUUGACCUCCCAUUUAGGCAUUGGCUUUUUUCUCUUAAGCUCAGUACUGGCAUUGUUCCAACCCUGUGUGUUAUUCAAUACAAGGUUUUACAAAAACUCCACCUCCUUUUAUUUAUUUUUUCUUGGAUGGAGCUUUUUAAAAAUGUUAAUCUAUAGAUCCUCCUCCUCCAUAAUUACACUUGCCAGAGGAGUAGGAGCCAAACAAUUAAAUUCCCCAUAGGUGCUGGGUGUAAUAAUUCCUCAUGAAUCAGAAGAUUAAGCAUGGCAACAACAAAUGGAACAAGAUGGUCUAAGCCCUGUUUUUCCUGCAGAACAGCAAAUAGUUGCAAAUCAAAAAGCAGUUCUCCUUAAUUACCACCGUAUGAGGCAGUAGGCUAAAAGCAGGUUCAUUUGGUAAUGUUUUCUGUGUGGCUAUGGUAUGUACACACAGUGAAGGCCUUUAUGCACCAUCUAAUAGACAAUAUUAUAUAGCAGGGUAUUGCUGACAUUCAUUUUAUGCGGAGAUAAAACUGGUACACCCAGGACACUGCUCUCCAAGCUGUGUGUGCACUGAACUAAAGGGAUAGUUUUGCUUGCUCAAGCCAGGCAAGGCUAUUUAUACUUAAACACAGUCUUUAUGACUUACAACAUGCCCUACUAGAUGAAGGUCCAUGAGCAGGACAGGCUGCAAUCACAGACUGUGAUCUCGAGGAGGCCUGCAAGCUGUAGUUUGUAAGGAGCUUCACCAAGUUGACACGUUUUCCUCUCUCUUUACCCUCAAAUCAACUACCCUGCUGAUCUGGAGGCCUUUGGGGACAUGAACUCUUAUAGCAGGAAUCAAAGAAUUGAUGUAGGAAAAUGAAUAGCAGAGCUGUAGUGUUUUAUUCCCCUCUUUGCUCCCCAAAUCAGACCGCUUGUUUAUUGAAAUUGGUCAAACAGUUUAAUUAGCAUUCCAUGUUUGUUAUUUCUUUAAUCAAGGUUUCAAACAGAACAAGGCAACAAGCCAGACCAGUAAUGAGUCUCCUCCACCUACUCUUAAGUUAAAUACUUGCUGAGAUUCCCAUUUGUUUCCCAGGGAUGUCUCAUCCCUGAUGUACUUUCACUUAUCAUCAGGGUUACUGGGUGCUACUUGUAAAUAUAUACUAAUUGGCAGUAGGCAAUGUAUAUAUUUAUGUUAAUUUAUAGUUAUAUAUAGGUACCCAUAAGUCAUGCAUUUUUGAGUGAGAAGAGUUGAAUAUUUUUCUGAUGAAAUUUGUGAGAAUGUGAGGGCCAUCUAUGAAGAAAAAUGAUUCAUAAGAUCUACUGACUCAUGUUGGAGAGCCCAUAAAUUAACCUUCUUGCCUUUAAAAAGUUUACUCUAAGACAUAUAAGCAAAGAUAUUAAAAAAUUCUCUGAAAAAGUGCUCAAGUAUCUACUUGGGUUCCCAUCAUAAAUCGAGGUGCUUAGAAGAAAUAUCAAAGGUCAGGGCCAGCUUGGCAAAUGGAUUUCAUUUUGUUUCAUACAAAAUACUGCCCUGCCUUUAGCUGCAAAUGUAGAUAACUUACGCAGUGUUAAGGAAAUUAUGCAAAUCCUAAUUGCAAACAGUUUUCCUUUUAGCUUUUUUACAUUUAGAAUAACUAUAGCAAUUAUUUGAAAACCUUUUUGAAUCCCACACUUAAUAAAAGGAAAUUUUAUGCAAACAAUGAAAGAGAAUUUCAAAGCAGUAAGUAAGGGUGAUGCUGGUUUUCCUUCAGGGGCUAGUAAACUGGAGAGGAGUCUAUUCUUAUCUUCCUACUUUCAAUAUCAUGAUCUACUGAAGUCUUGGAAGCUCUACAAAGAGCAGCAAAGGGAGCAAAGAUUAGUUUCUGCAGAGGUACCUGGGGACAGGCUGUGAAGAAGGAGGUGUCAUGAUCCACUGAGUGGGUUAUGCAGCAACUUCUCCAGCUUUGUAGGUAUGCCAGGCAAAACAGAAUAAUGGUUAGGAGCUAUAGAAACUGAAACUGAACCUCUUGCAAACAUAUCUCACCUCUGCAACUUACUGGCUGUGUGACCUCACCUCUCUGAACCUGGUUUCCUCAUCUGUAAGAGAAAAAUACUGGUACCUACCUCAUAUGCUGGAGGAUUCAGUGUAUUAAUAAACAUGAAGCAAAGCCCUUAUAACAGAGCGUGGCACAAACCAAGGGCUAUGUGACCAUUACUAUUAUGGGCUAUGACUUUUUAAAUGUGAACAAAUGAAAGUAUCUAAACAUGGCCCUGGCUGGAAUUACUUUCUGGGAAGGAAUCGUGUCUAUAGUUAGCAUAAUGAUCUGUUAAGAGAAGGCUACAACCUCUGAGAGGCAGCAGCAAGUGGUUUCUGAGACAGAACUACCUGGGCUCAGAGACAGGCUCUGCCACGCCUGGGCUGUGUGACCUUGGACAAACUACUUAAAACUCUGUAAGUCUCUACUGUCUUCAUCUGUAAAGUGAAGAUAACAAUAAGGACCACUUUAGAGAGUCUUAUGAAGAUUAAUGAAAUUAGGCCUAAGGAGUAUUCAGCAUUAGCACCUGGCACAGUUAAUGGAGAACAUUGUUUUUCUACCUUAGUACAAUUGACAUUUUGGCUCAGAUAAUUCUUUGUUGCCAGAGGGCUAUAGGAUAUUCAGUAAUAUCCCUGGCCCCCAUCCACUAGAUGCAAUAGCAUCUCCCCAGUUGUGAUAACUAAAAAUACCUCCAGACACUGCCAAAUGUCUCCUGGAGGGCAGAGAAGAAUUUGCUCCUGAUUAAGGGAGAGGAAGUGUAUUAAGAGAUAGGAACAUCCACAUAGGAUAUCCUUCUUUGCCAAAAUCAGCCUGCUGUCAAGAGGAGGAAAUAUACUAGCUUAUGGGGCCUCUUGAGUUUCCAUUGCUCUGUCCCAGAGAGCAUCCCCUGUUAGGGGAAGCCCUGCCCAAUAAGACCUGGGCCCCUCGUCUCAACUGACAAUGUGAAUUACAAGAGUGAAAUUGCUUGCCUCAGUCUUAAAUUCUUCUUGGAAACAGUUGAGGAAAUCAGGGCCAUAUCUGACAUUUUUAAGCCUGAUUUUAUUUGGAUUUGCUUACUCUUAUUACUGCUGCUAUGGUCCAGCUACCAAUUUAUACCCCGAUAGGCUAUGCUGGUUAUUCUAAUCUAAACAAAGGAAGAUUUGAGAAUUAAAAUGGCAGAAAAUGGAGCUAAAUGGCUUUAUUCAUUUUUCAACAAAUAUUCAUUAAGAGUUUAUCAUGAGCCAGGCACUGUUUGGGAGAUUUGGAAUAUAUCAGGGAACAAAACAAGUGAAAUUCCCCUCCCUCCUGGAAAUUAGCUAUCAACUUUUCAGGGCAGUAACAGCCAGAUUGAACAAAUAGAUGCCUACAGGCUAAAAUGUCUCAAACCCUACUGUUGCCCUUUUCCUCAUUCACUUUCAUUCUUCUCUUAAAUUUCUUUCUUCCCUAGAUUUCCUGCCCUUAAUUUUUCAUACCAUGGAACAGAAAUGCAAUAGGUGAGUUGAAUAUGACUUUCUGUAUGUAACUCCCAAUCUCUUUCUGUCAGUUGCAGGCUCUCAAAAUGAAAAAGUCAUCCUAUCUUGAUUGAAAGAGGUGUUUACUUCUGGGUUAAGAGCCUGGUCAUUAUGCUAUAGGCUCCAGGGUGCUUGAAUCUCUGUGAUUCUCGCAGUUAGUUUUGAAGAUUAUAAAUACUAGUGAACCUUCCCCUUUUGCCACCUGUGUUAACACAGCCUGUACAGGUGAACCAGACCUUGGGUUAUUUUCCACUCAAACUCCUUCUGCUCCAGUUACGCUAUGGCCACAUAAAAAAGUGUUAACAGAGCAAAAUAGGACCCUUGUUAAUGGGCCAAACUCUGAGGAUAAGAUUCCAGAUAUCUUGGCACAUUAAUCUCCAAUGAAUGGCAUACAUUUUUCUGGGAAUGGUCCGUUAUUUUGGAUCAAAAGGUUACCCACUUGUCUAUAGGCUGAGUGUUAAAUGUGAGAACUGGAUUAAAAAAGAAAAAGAUAAUUAUGAAACAGGCCUUAGACUGGAGCAUCAUUACUAGACUUUCUGUUUGUGAGAACAAUUCUUGUGGAUUCAUGGUGGUGUGUCGAGCAAUAAUGGGCUGCAUUUCAAAAGAAACUUAGAGGGAGGAGAUCCCAGGUUUAUGGGUGAAAAGAAAUGAGAGAUGAAAUAGGUGUUUGAUUUUAUGCUGAGUCUCAAUUUCUGGGUUUUUAAUUUUGGCAUUUAUUUUUAUGAUAUUUACCUACCAUGCCUGUAAUGUACUAUGGACAGAAACUGCCUUUUUAAAAGUCAUGUAGAACACUGAAUUAAAAAGAACUAAUGAAGUUUUUCACUCCACAUUGCCCUGACAUACUAAACACAAUUCUCCUUUCAAAAGGGCUAUUAGCUGACUUAGAUUUGUAAACAAUACUGAGUAUAUAGAUUUGUCAGAAUCACUUCCUCUGGGACAUCUUCAUCUUUUCCAUGUUCUUUAAGUCAGUUUAAAAAUAUUAUUUGAUCUUGGAGUUCCUGUUAUGGCACAGUGGAGGCGGGUCCAGCUAGGAACUAUGGAGUUAAGGGUUUGAUCCCUGGCCUCGCUCUGAGGGUUGGAGGUCCAUUGUUGCUGUGAGCUAUUGUGUAGGUCGCAGAUGUGGCUUGGAUCUGGCAUUGCUGUGGUUGUGG
rnacentral:lncRNA from 1 species